GAAUAUCUUACACUUAAAUGGAAACCCACGUCCGUAAAAAGGAAAGUAUUUAAUUGUUCUCUUCAACCGAACUUAAAAUUGUAAAUUGGCAAGUGUAAUCAUAUAUAAGUAAAGAACCUAGUCAUUCAUAACCCUGAUCGAAAUGACUUUUCACAGCUGCCUCCUAACAAAGUGAAAUGUUUUACUAGGUUUUCAUUUCUCAUUCUUUAAGCAAUUAUCGAUCCUUGAAACAUAUUCUUUUUAAAAAAAUUUUGAGUUAAGCACAAUAGUUUCACCAAUAACUUGAGUACCAUUUUAUUCUAUUGGAUUCAUUUCCUUGUAGUUCUAAGAACAGUAACCUUCCGAGAACAUAGAGUGGUCAUAUAAACAAACAAGCAGUAAUCACUCAUAAAAAAAGGGUUAUUGGAUAAGUUGUUUCUAGGAAAGUAGGAGUUUCUCGUGUAGGAGCAAAACUUACAACAGUAGGUCUUUUGAUAAUACCAUCUUUUAUCCUCUGUUGCAGAUCUAUGCAUUCUUCCUGUUAACACAACAUCAUGCAACUAAGCAUACAAUGCAAGAAGUUACCAAAAUUCACAAUAAUAUCAUAUCUCAUGUGGAAUGAAUUUACGAUGAACAUAUCGACUCCAAAAUAGCAUAGAAACAGAUAUAACCUGUAUCCAACAACACAAGGGAUAACUGAUACACCAAGGAAGCUCAAGCAGUUAUCUGAAAUCUGUGAAUCAAAUGUGGGAAGAUAGUGCAGAUGAACGCAUACACACUCAAUUACAAUGUAAGCAAAAAGAGGUGUUAUCAUGGGAAAUUCACUCAAUGCCAGUACCAUCUAACUGUUUAUAGAAAGCCAAGGAAAUUCCCUCGGUAACUUUAAGAGACUCCACAUGCUUGAAACAUACAGAGAUAUAUUGCUGGAAAUUAAAAUUCAUGUAACUUUACUGCUAUGUUUGAGAACAUAAAUUUGAAAAAUAAUCCUGAAUGUUACAUUUGUAUGUGUUUUACAUCAAUAUUCGACAUUUUGGAAAAACGAAAAAAGAUAAAUCUCCUUGACAUUUAUUACCUCUGAGAUGUCAUCAUCAUUAAGCAUGUCGAUAGGAAUAUCAACCGGCAUGCAAGAAACCUCGAGGAGAAUCCCCUUGUUGCUCUCAGCAUUUGAGGUUUUCUUUACGCCUGAGAAGUAAAAGAUCAAAAAUUACAAAAAUUAACAUAAUCUUGAAUCGUUUACGAAACAAAGAUAUUUAUAGCUUAGAUUUAAUGCAAAUAAGGGUUAGGUUAUAGCAAAAGACUAUAUGAUGUUUAGAGUAAAAGAUUAUCUAUUUUCAUAUAAAAGAAUACCAGUAACUAGCAAAAGCUGAAAAGAAGUCAUCCCCAAACAGUUUCCAGGCUUUCUCUUCACUCUAACAAAACUUCCCACAACCUUUUCUUCAAAUGUAUCAGGAUGCAUCAACAGCUCCUCCACUAAGCUCCUCCUUAAGUACACAAGUUUGAUAUUUUCAACAACUACAGAAGCAUAACAACUCUUUCGGACUGCAUAUUCCACCUUGAUAGGUACUUUAUAGGGGGUCAAUGUUCUCGGCCUCUUGCAUUCUGAGAUAAUUUGUUCAUCUUCAUUCACCGAACGACUUUCACCACCAUUCCGCUUUCCAUCCAAUAUCGAUGGUUCCAAAGUAUUAGCAAAAUGACUUUUCAAAAGAUCACAUAAUUUGUUCUUUGGCUCCCGUUUCUUCUGAAAAAAGAGAAUACAAAUUUGCAUCAGAAAGCAUUCCUUAUGAGAUCACAGUGAGAAGGUUUGAACCCUGUCGAACAUAUUCUCUUACCCGAGACCUCUUUAUUUUGUCAAACGAAUCAUCUGAAGCGUAAUCUGAGCAGUUAUCAGCAUCCGAUAUUGAGAUUACAUCAUCUUUAUCUUUGUUCUUAUCAUAAUCUGAGCCACUGUUAUAGUUCUCCCUCUUAGAAUAAGCAUGAUGUAAAUCAUCAAAGGUCAACUCUUCUUGCUCCAUUAUUAUCAACAAAUAUUCUUUAAACAAGAAUUCAUCCGUCGUUGGAUCUUGAAAGUCUAGCUUCUCCUGCAGAUAAAUCCGAAAAAUUCAAAGGCCCAUUCUGCCGAAAACAAAUAGGAGAGAGAUAAAGCGCAUAAUUAACAGAAUAGAGAAAACAAAAUUAUCGAUAUUCCCAUCGUAGCCUUGCGCCCAUUUCCCUUAACUGCUUCCUGAUUUCCUCUUCUUUACUCAUUAAUCUUCUACAAACAUCAAAUUCUAUCUACUUAAAAAGAGUUUCAUGAUCAAAAAGCCUCCGAAUAUUAAAUAACAUGGCAUUUACAAAAUUCAAAGAAAACAUGCUAAAGCCAAAGAGAAGGGGGAAAAAGGUUAUGAAGCCAUUAUUAAUCGAGUUGCAUACUCCCUCGGAGUCGAUUUCUGCAUUCUUUUCUGCAAGCAGUGCGAGCUCGAAACAUGUUUUGCAUAGUCCUUUGUCCAACUUAAGACGCACAAACUCAUAUGCCCCAACACAGAGCCUACAGACAGAAUCAGGGCAAGCAAGGCAAUAAAACUGAGGGGGGCCACCACAUUCAGCACAAGAAUGCCUGUCUGGAAACACAAAUAAUCGAGACCAACAUUAAACAGCAGGUCUAAAAGGAAUCCGAUAUGUUAUAACAGUGCAAAUCACAAGUAUAUGUAGCAACUGUUGGCAAAGAGGAAGAAAAGACUUACGGCAGAUCCAGCUACCUUCAGACUUUAGUACUUUAUUUUUCUUACCAAUGCAGCUGGGGUGAUAAGCUUUUAUACAGCCCCUGGAAACAAAGAACACAACGAGUAACGUAUACAUACAUUAUUAGGGAAUCAGAAAUGAGAAUCUAUAUAUCGACACACCAUCUUAACGAUAAUACAUAUUACGUUACCGAGAUUUAGGGUGACUGACUUUCACAUACAAAUAUGAUCAACUUACACCCCAUACCCCUAUCCGAAUACUUGUCAAGCAUGGAUAAACGAAAAAUCAUAGUAUAGAUUAUUUAUGACCAAAAUUCCAAAUUCGAAACCAGUGUAAUAGAAAAGCACGAAACUUAUUGUACUUAUAUGAAGUAUUCAAGCUGCAUAAAAGAAAUUCCAACAGCCAUUUAAAUCCACCAUACUAAAUGAAAAAUAAAAACACAUUCAAAGAAUUCAACAAUGUGAGAACUCUUAAAACAAAGUUUUCUAACAAUCAAUUUCACUGUUAAUAAAUUACAUGCUUCUUAAAUUUUUCCCUAAAGAUGACAAGAAUAAAUUACCAACAGUACAUCAUUAACAAUACUAUAUUAACAAAAGCACUUGUUUUUCUUUUUCCUUUUCCUUUUUUCCUUUACCUUUAAUCUUCUUUCGUUUUUCAUUAUUCUUUUUUCUCUUUUGUUAACCUUUUUCCCUGUCAUUUUCCACUAAUUUUUUUCUUCUAUUCCAACAUACAACACAAAGAUUUAAUCCAAAUCUGAAUGUUUAGUUAGAACAAACAAAACAAACCCAAAAAAUCAUUGAUCAAAAGCAAAAGAAAAACCCUAAAAUUACCCAGAAAAACCCUUCCAAAAAAAACGAAAAUUUUACUUCAAAAGAAAAGAAACUCACUUGUGAUCACAAAGAAGCAAGUUCCCACCAUCUUUACAAACAAAACACCAGUCUUCUGCUUCUUCUUCUUCUUCUUCUUCUGCUUCUUCUUCUUCGUCUUCUUCUUCUUCCACUAUCUGCUUCCCUUUGUCUUUGCUCAUUGUCAAAAAACUUCAAUGUUUCUUCAACGCUGAAGCGUAGGAGGACGAGACAGUGUGCAGAGAGCGUUAAAAAGGUAAAAUCUUUGAGCAAUUUAAGUCAAAGAAGGUAAAAUAAUAUGAUUAUUAUUGUCAGGUAUUAUCUGACUUGAAAUUAAAAAAACUUUUUAAAGCUCUCAUAUAUAUAAUAUUGUGGUUUUUUAUUAUUUUAAUCAUCCAAAAAUAAAUUGGUGUUAAUAUUCUAUUUGGUACCAGAAUUUGGCUUCAAAUUCAAUUUGGUAUUUAAGUCUUUUUGUCCUAAUUUAAUAUCUAGUUUUGACUUUAACGUUCACUUUUGUAUUUGAGUUUUUCAAUUUGAUAUACGAGUUUUAUUUUAAUUAAGUACUUUAAGUUUAAUUUUAAUAUUUAAUUUAACACCUUAAUUUUUUUUCCAAUUAAGUACCUUCAGUUUUUUAUUAGAAUAUGCAUGUUAAUUAUUCAAUGGACCAAAUGAUGCUAUUUGUUCUAGAUACCAAAUUGAACAUCAAAGUCAAACUUAAGCACCAAAUUAAGAUAAAAAAAUUAGAUACCAAAUGAUAUAUUAACCCAAUAAUUUUUUUAAUACAAUGAAAAGACACAUAACUUCAAGUCAUCAUCAAGAAACCCGAGUCAAAAAAAUAAAAUAAUAAAUUUAUUAAUUUUAUAAACAUAAAGCAUGUAAUAAUUUAUGGAUGAAUUUACAUGUGUUGAUAUUAAUCUUAUCUUCUAUUUUAAGCCCUUACAAAAAAAAAUAAUGAUAAUUUUUUAAAUAAAGGGUUAAAAUAUAAAUUCUACAAUUUUAUUAGCGAUGUAAGAAGGGACUGAAACUCAAAUUUACCAAACCAAAUGAGUCCCAGACAUCUACCUACCUUUGGUUCGCGGUUGCCUUAAAUUUAUAUAAAUUCCGUAUCAUUUAGUAAUUAAUAAAAUAAAUAUUUUAUUAGAUACAGGGAAAUAAUUAUGUAUCAAAUUUAUAAAAAAAUUUAAAUUAAAAACAAAUAUGACAUUGAAAUGCUGAAAUUGAAUAAUAAAAAAUUUUAAUAUUUUAAAUUCAAAUUUUAUAAUAUUUUUUUAGAUUUAUAGAAAAUGUAAAAAAACAUAAACAUAAAAAAAAGUAAUUACAUUUCUUGCAUUUUAGUUAUCUUAGAUUAUAUAUAAAUUUAAUAAUUAGUAAUUAAAUAAAUGUUUCGUAACUUCAAUUAAGUCAAUAUGAGCUCGAGGUACGGAUUCCAACAUGAAGGAAAGAGAAAUGAAACAAAACUAUGACGCAGUCACUUGUGAAGAGCAUUUUAAUUACAUCACUUAAACACCUAUAAAUAAGAUACUUUGGCUCAAACUUUGUACUUUUUGGCCAUAUUUUCAUAUUUAUAUACUUUUACGUUUUUAUUGUCUCUAUAAAAUUUCUAAAUUUCUUUUUUUAUUUAAAUGGAUUUCAAAGUUUUAAUUCUUAAAGUUUAUGAAAUCUAAUUGAUUUUUUUCUUUCUUUGUUCUUGGGUAUUUGUAUAUCUUCAAUUUUAAUUAUAAAUAUUCAGGUGUGUUGAAUGUUGAAUUCAAUUUUAAUAACUUAAAAUAUUUGUCUUAGUUAGAAUUUAAUUGUUUAAUUUAUUUUAAUACGUGUGACGAUUGACAUUAUUGGUUAAUUAAACAAUUAAAUCCUAGGCAUUUGUAUGGCCAAGCAAAAAAAAAAUCCUAAAUAUUCGUUAGAAGGAUAUUUAUCAAUAAGGAGAAUAAUUAAUGUUGUUUGUCUUGAUUCUCGAAAAGGUAAGAAAAGAUUGGUCGCCUGGCGAUUGUAAUUAACUAUAACCAUUUUAUAACUGAAUAAAGAAAUUUGUCUUUGCAUCGAUAAUCAUACAAUAAAUCAAAAUUGAGAUUUUACCUUUGACCAGACUCUUAUCAUAUUGAUUUUGUAACACCCCCUAACCUCGUCCCGUUGCCGGAACAGAACUACGGAGUAUUACUAGUCAUUACAGUACAUUUACACGUAAAACAUGAAUAAAAACAAUAUUGUACAUCAAAUACAUCUUAAUAUACCUUUAAUGGGCCCUCGGUACUUAAUAAGUACAUUUAAAACAAAUCGGGGCUCGAUCGGAAGCUUAGAAAUUUUUUUGUGAAAUUUCAAAGUUUCCUCCUAUGAACAGUACCACACGCUCGUGCGGUUUAGGGGACACGCCGUGUGCCCCUUUCAACAUGCCAGUGUGAACACCCCGUGUCGCUCACACGGUCUGGACACCCCCGUGCCCUCUACCCGUGGAGCUCUCCGUUAAUUUACUCAUGGCUAAUUAAUUUCACAAGGCCAAGACACACGCUCGUGUGCUUAGCCAGUAUCGAUUUAUUUUUUAUUCAAAACAAGUGCAGUUUUCACACGGCCAUGGCACAUGCCAGUGGUGCAUGGCCGUGUCCCUCACACGGCUGAGACACACGGCUGUGUCUCUGCCUGUGUGGCAACGCUUGAGCAUUUUGUUUUGGAUAUUUUUAGGUGCAGGGGACACACGGCCUAACAACAUGCCCGUGUGCUAGCCGUGUGUCUCACACGGUCUGGUCGCACGCCCGUAUGCCAGGCCAUGUGGACUCAAAAUAAGCCUUUUAUCACAAACUUACCAUCCCUGCAAAACUUAAGCUUCAAGCUAGCAAUUUUCUUAACUUUCAACAUUAAAUCAUCCAACCAAUGUACCAUCAUUGGUACCACAAUUUAUGUCAAAUAUACGAGAUCACCACAACAAUCAAACAUACUUAGAUUUAACUUCAAACAUACAUAUUCCAUACCAUAGUCCAACAUCUUUAAUACCAUUUACUAUUAUGUAUAAAACAACAACUUAAUAGCCUAGGUACAUGCCAUUUUACCAAAAAGAAAGGUACUUCACCGCUUUGAGUCCGGGAUUGGCUUGGAUGCUGAGUCCUUAGCUCUUUAGUACCUAAUCCUGCGCACGGAAACAAAACCGUACACUAAGUAUACACUCAGUGGUAUUUCUAUAUACUAGCACUUAAAUCAUUAAUAAAUCGUUUAUACAUUUAAACCCCAAGCCUUUACUUUCAUGAUCUUAACAAUUCGUUUACUCAUCUUUAUCUCUUAGCCUUUAAAUGUCGUUAAACAAUUCUUUACACAUUUCGUAUCAUUCUAUACUUUUCAAUAAUCAUACAUCAGUCUGUCAUUUAUAUUCGCUAACAAUCAACAUUCAGUCUUAAUUAUAUAAUCUAUAACAAUCAGUCUUCAGUACCUUCAUUUACCCCUAUUAACAUAACUCGGACCUGGACGGAUACAUGGAUCCAACCCACACACCAAGAUAACAUAUAGUGUUUCAUCGGCCGAAGCUGGAAUACACCAUAAGGGUAACAGUAACAGUAACAGUAACAGUAACGGUACACAGAGUACCUCAUCGGAACAAAUUCGGAACAAUAACAGUAACAGUCAGGUAUGGAGUACCUCUUCGGAACGAAUCCGGAACAGUAACAGUGGUCGACACUUAUAAUGUCUCAUCAACACACAGUCGGAAUAUCCCUGAACACUUCCAAUCCUAUGGCAUGCCAAGUAUAUCCGACUAGCCCGACUCUGUUAAUAGGGUUUUCAUAGCUCGAUAAUAGAUAUACUUACCUUUACUUUCAUUCAUUAUACAUUUUUGGGAGUCACAUUAAUAAAUAUGCAAUAAGUUUAGUUUAUAGAAAUACAAAUCGUAAUUCUCGAGUUUACUCGAUAUCCUCGUUCACUUUAUUCUUUCCCUUCUUCGAUGACAUUUUCGAUGCUACGUUACCUACAUAAAAGUUAACAUUUAAAAUUAUCAAUUUAUGUUAUUUAAUAACACAUUCUUUAUUUUCCAUGUAACUUUCACAUAAAUUCCAAUUUAGUCCUAUCACCAUAAUCAUUCUUUCUCUUCAAAAUUAGUCAUUUAUUUUCAGUUAAUACCUAUUAUAAGUAAGUUUCAGCUAUUAGUAUUCAAUAUAGAACAUAAAUUCUGAAUUUCUUUCAAUUUAAUCCCUACUAUGUCAAAACUUAUUUCUCUUUUUUACAAUUUAGUCCUUCUCCCACUUCUAACUUAAAUUUCUAUGAAUUAAACUCAUAAUUCUUAAAUUUAUCCAACUUAAUCAACAUCCAACAAUUCAUGAACUUUCUAAUUUUCAACAUAAUUCAUGUAAAGCCUUGUCUUAGGAUUCCAAAAACAUCAAAAUUGCAAGAAAAUGGAUUAAAUUGACUUACCAAUCAAACUUGAAACUUCAAAGCCCUAAUUUUCCCUUUUCUUUUUCUUUCCCUUUUUCCUUCUUUCUUUCCCUGCUAUUCGUGCCUUCUUUCUUUCUUUUUAUGUUUUAUUUCUUUUAUUUUCUUUAUUUAAUUAAUAUUUAUAAUUAUAUAAUAUAAUAUAAUUUACUUAUAAUAUAAGUAAUUACCUAAUAAUCAUACACUUAUAUCACUUAUUUUAAUUCCACAUGUAUUUCACUAUUAACACACACUCGUCACCUUAUGGUCUAAUUGCUACUUUAGUCUCUUAGCUUUUCUUUAGUCUAUAAUUAAACCUUUAUUCUUUUUGCAAUCUAGUCCCUUUUUCCUAAUUAAUCUUAAUUCAAAAUAAUUCACUAAAUUAGACUCUAAUUAAUCACUCAACUAUCAUUCGUAAAUAUUUCUAAUAAAUAUUUACGAAUUCGUUUUACAGAAAUAAUGACUUAAACCUUUAGUUUUUGAUGAUCGUAAUUGUCGGGUCGUUACAGAUUUUCUUAGAUUUUAAUUGUGAUCUAUCUUUUAACAAUUUUAAUUUUAAUUUUAAAAACUUCCAUGAAAAGACGAAUGUGGUAACUAAUGCCUUGAGUAGAAAUCCAUUUACAGCUUUGAAAGCAAUAAAUACUCAUAUGAAAUUUGAGUCAAAUGGGAUAUUGAUAGCUGAAUUAAAAGUAAAACCAACUAUGUUACAAGCUGUGAAAGAUGAACAAGUGGAAGAUGGCAAGAGAAACGGAUUUGAAGUUGACAAUGAAGGGAGCAUGUGAUUUUAAAGUACAUUAUGUGUAACUAGGGUGAUGAACUGAAACAAAUAAUACUUUGAGAAGCUCAUUGUAGUAUGUUUGCUAUGCAUUUUAGAAGUAAUAAGAUGUAUCAUUAUCUGAAACCCUAUUAUUGGUGGAAAAGAAUGAAAAAAUGAUAUUAUUGAAUAUGUUUUGAAGUGUUUAGUUUGUCAACGGGUAAAAUGAUCACAAUUCCUGAAUGGAAGAGAGAAAGAAUCACAAUGGAUGUUUUGACCAUAUUUUUAAUCCUAUAUUUGUGCUUAUGUUAAUGUAUACUUUUAAUAUAUGUUAAGUUGUUGCUUGUACUGGAAUGAUGAUGAGUAGUUGAAUCUAUGGUGAAACAAUUUAAUAUGUGAAUAAGGAAAUUAUGAUAACAGUUUAAUGAGUAUUGUAAAAGUGAAAUUGUGGAAAAAUAUGAAAUUUUAUGAUGACAAGGAUUGAAUUGUUAACUUGAGAAAAUAUGUAGAUAAAAUAAUAGAAGUGAAAUACAUAGAUAUUUGAUACGUGAACAAGAUAUUGAGAUAAAUUAUGUGAUUAAAGUGUAACAAGAAAGAAAAUUGAUUUAAUAUAAUUCAUUAGUGAAUAUUGAACUUUUAUGACAAAAAUGGACUAAAUUAAAAAUUUAUGAAAAUUUAUAAGAAAAUAUUUGAUAAGUGAAUACCGGUGCUUUGACUCGAUGUUCGGGUCAGGUAUGGGGGUGUUAUAGUGAACAGAGCUUCAACGGUUUGAAAAAUGUCUUAUGAAAAAAAUUGGUAAGACAUUUUACUGGAAUAAGGAGGUAAUUUUACGUUGACCAUUCUAUUUUACAUGAAAUAAACAUCGAAAAAAGCUGAAAAUAUUUUCCGUAAAAGCUUCAUUGAAUUCAAAAAUCCUUUUAAGGGAAAAAUUGAAUCCUAAAUUUUUGAAAUGUGAAAAUUGUAGAUUUUAUCAUAUAUUAAUUUGAUUUCAUUAUUUUUGAUGGGAUUAAAUAGGCUUUUUUUAUUUUUUAGUGUCAAAGUAUAAUUUUGUCUUAUGUUAAUUUAUUGAAAAUAUACGUAAAUUUCACGCUGACAUGAUAAUAUUUUAUUUUAUAUGUCACAUCAACAAAUUUUUUUGAAAAGUAAUAUAAAUAUAUAAAAAAUAACAUGAAAUAUAUAUAAAUUGUCAAAAUAUAAAACAUAAAAAAAUCCAAAAUUAUCAAAAAUGUAGAAAACUUUUAAAAAUUAUUGAAAAUUUAAAAAUUAAAGAAAAUUAUUAAAAAUUUAUAAAAUAGAAAAAAAUUCAUAAAAAUAUAAAAUAUUUAAAAAUUAUAAAAAUAUAUUUAAAAUUAUUAUAAAAUAUUUAAAAUUAUAAUAAUAGAAAAAAAUUAUAAUUUAUAAAAAUAUAUAUAUAGAAAAGUUUUAAAAAAUCGUGGCAGAUUUGUCUUCUGCUUCUCUAAGUGGCAGAUUUGGAAGGUAAAUAGCCAUAAGAUCUCCUCAAAGUCGGAACUCAUUACUCCUUAGUCUGUUCAAGAACCCAAAAGACAUGUCUUUUAGAGAGUGAUAAAAUAUAUUAUUAUACUUGAUUGGUAUGUUUAUAAUGUUAUCUCAUGUUCAAUGUCUAUAUGUUAAAUGUGGAUGACUAGAUUAUGUUUAGUUUGUAUGUGCACUAAAAGUGUGAUUAUAAACAUGAUAUGCAUGUGACAAUAUACCAUGUUAGACGUUAGAUUUGUCUUGGUUUUAAUGCUUGAAUUGGCUGGUAUAAGUAUGCAAGUGUUGGUAUAGGUUCUUGGCAUAAUUAGGUGAGAAAAUGAAGCUAGAAAAUGGCUUCGUUUUGUCCACACGAGUAGACACACGAGCGUGUGUCUAGGCCGUGUGUGACACACGGCUUGCCCCAUGGGUGUGUGACUUGGCCGUGUGUCCCCUACAUCUAAAAAUCAAGAAACGAAAUGCUUCGAAUUGAGCAUACGGGCAGAGACACGGGCGUGUGUCUCAGCCAUGUGAGGGACACAGCCUUGAACACAGACGUGUGUCAUGGUCGUGUGAAAACUGCACCUUAAUUUUGAAAAAUAAAUUCGCCGCACGGCCUAGCACACGGGCAUGUGACUUGUCCGUGUAACUUCAUUUUGUUCAUGCCUUGCAAGUCAGAGAGUUACACGGGUAAAGGACACGGGCGUGUAUAGCCACACAGCUUAGAAUAUUGGCACGCCUGCUCACACGGCCUGACCACACCGGCGUGUCCCUAGACCGUGUGAGCAGGCCGUGUGAGCCGUGUGAGCAGGCAUGCCCGUGUGCUAGGCCAUGUGGCGAAUUUAAUUUUUGAAAAAUUAGGUGCAAACUUCACACGGCCAGGACAUAUGCCCAUAUCCAAGGCCAUGUCCCUCACACAGCUGAAACACACAGCCGUGUCUCUGUCCGUGUGCUCAAUAACUAAGCAUUCUAUUUUCUCAAAAUUAAGAUGCAGGGGACACACGGCUAGACUACACGCCCAUGAGGCAAACCGUGUGUCACGCAUGGCUUAGACACACGCCCAUGUGUCUACCCGUGUGGACAAAUUAAAGGCUAUUUACUAAGCCAUUUGUCACCCUUAUUUACUCAUACACAUACACAACUUCUAUGGCAUAGAUCAUAGCAUAGUUAAGCAACUAAACAUAACCAUUUCCAUGCCAACAUAUGCAUUGUAAUACCCCGAAAAUUUUUACAGUAAAAUAUUAUCCGUAAUAUAGUAAAAUAAGGAAAUAAAGUGACAAUAAGGGAAUUUUUGAGUUAUGUCAAUAUUGGGAAGUAUAUUAUGAUAUAUUAAUUCAAGAAAGGACUAAAUUGCAAAGAUGAGAAAAGUCUUGUUGCACAAGAGUAAAUACUCAAAAUUUAAGGGGUUGAAGUGUAAAUAUAAAAAGUUGAAGGACUAAUGGUGCAAAUAUUUUGAGGUUGGAAUGGUCUAGAAACCAAGAAAAAUUGACGAAUUAGGACCAAAUUGAAUAGGUAAAAAAUUAUGAGGGACUAAAUCGUAAUUUUACCAAAUUAAGUGAUGACUCAAGGAUGGAAUUCUAAAAGAUCAUGAAGGGAAAAAUGGUCAAUUAAUUAAGAGAGAUAAUUCUAGAAUGUAAUGAUUAUAUUGAUGACAUUUUAAAUUAAUUAAUUAGAUAAAUAUUAUUUUAUUAAUAUUUUUAUGAGAUGUUUAUUAUUAUUAUAUUAUUAUUUAUUUAGUAUAAAAGGAAGGAAAGAUGAAGAAUUAAUAUCACAUUUCCUUUCCCAUGCAACCAACGUUAGAAGAGAAGGAAAAGAAAGAAAUUUUGUUUUCUUUACAAUUUGGUCCUUCCACAAAAAAUUCACCAUUUUCACCUAGAAAUCAAAAGAAUUUUCAUAGCUACUAAGAGAGAAAAAUGUUAAGGAGACCAUGGGGAGUUACAAUAUCAAGUUGGAUUCAAGAAAUAGAAGCUGGAGGAGAGAGAAAAUCAAGUUAAAAAUUAGUAUCAAUAGAACAAGGUAAGUAUAUCAAGAUUUCAAUAUGUUUUUAAGUUUGUUAUUAUUGACAAAGCAUGGAAAUAAUGUUAUAGUAGAGUUUUCUUACAUAAGGUCCUAUGUUCUUGAUAUGUUAGUGAAGAGAAAAUAAGAGAAAGUGAUGAGAAAUGGUGUAGAAAAAGAAAAUAAGGGUGUUAUAACAUGGUAAUUAAUAUCUUGUACUAAAACAGUUUUGGGCAACAGCAGUAGUCUAGCUUUGAAAAAUCAUAAAAUUUUGUAGAAAUCUAAUUAUAGGAUGAAUAAAAUAUGAAAUUAAAUCUUAUUAAGUCUAGUUUCUUAUAGAAGAAAUUAUGUAAGCAAUGGAAUUGUAAAUCAUGAGAUAUGAUGAAUUUUGUGAGACAAGGUCAGAAUGAUUUCUGGUUCCCCUGUUCUGACUUUGUAAAAUCAUAAAAAAUUGGAUAGAAAUAAUUAUGGGAUUAAAUUUAUAUUUUUAGAAUCCUUAAUAAGUCUAUUUUCAAUAGAAAAAACGGAAACAUCAUUCGAAUUCUGUACGAGGAGAUAAUUAAUUUUUAGUGAAGAAGGGACCAGAACUGUCAGACAGCAGAACAGUGGUAACUUUAAAGAAUAAACUGUACUUAUUGGCUAAACCAAAAAUUCUGAAAAUUUUAUGGUAAGAAUAUAUAUGAGUCUAGUUUCAGGUAAAAUUAAAGGAUCUUAAUUUGGAGUUCUAUAGCUUCAGAUAUAAAUAAUUUAGUGACUAUGACGCAGAUAGACAGCUUGAUUAUUCAUAAAAGUAAAUAAUAAAAAUUAUGGAUAAUGUUACUUACAAGUGUGUUAUCUACAUUAAGGAUGUGGAAUGGAGAGGAGGAGGAGGAAAAAUGUGUAUGAAUAUUCAUCUAGCAUGGCUAAUUUGUAUAUUUUAGGCUCAAGGACUAAAUUGAAUAAAAGUAAAACUUUAUGGGUAAUUUUAUAAAAAUGUCAGAAAUGACCAAAUUGCAUGAAAUGGAUUAUUUUAUUAUUUAAAUUACAAAAUUGAAUGAAAUUAUUAAUUUAGUUCAAGAUCGGGGGAAAACAUGUUUUAGGGAUUAAAUUGAAAAGUGUUGAAAUUAUAGAAAAUUCUGAUAUUUUAUAGAAUUCAUGAACUGUUAUCAAUACAUAUGAGAAUAAUAGCUGGAAAUAAGGAUUAAAUUGCAAUAAUUUUAUUUUCCCUGACCCUAAGGAUGAAAUUGUCAUUAAUUAAAAGUUUAGGGGCAAAAUGGUAAUUUUGCCUAGAGCAUUAAUUAAAUGCAUUAGAAUAUGAAAUGAAUGAAAAUGAUGAUCAAAUUUAUUUGUAAAGAUCCAGACGACUCAAAUAUGAGACUUGAUCGUAGAAAAGAAAAGUUAUCGGAUUAAUGAAAUUAUAAACACAAACAAGCAAUGAGGUAAGUUCGAGUAACUUGAAUUAUAUUCUUAAAUGCUUGAAAUGUAUGUUAAUGAUGUGAAAAUAAUUUGAAUGUUCAUUGUAUGAAAAUUGAUGGAACAUUGAUAUAUUUGAUAAAAGGGGAAGAAAUCCCAGUUGAAUAAAAGGAAAUUUCGAUGGAUCACUGAAAAGGAAUUGACGGUAAAAAUGAUCUAGCCCGGACGGGUGAUCCUAUCCUGACAUAGCCCUCCCGAAGAAUACGUGUAAAUGGAUUUAGCCCGGACGGGUAAUCCAAAUUAGGGUCUGAAUUUAGCCUGGACUGGUAAUUCAGAUCCAAGCUCAUUAGAGUAAUUGUCGUUGCAGGGGAUUUAGCCUAGACUGGUAAUCCCGACAAUACUCUAUGAGUUUAUAUUACAGGGGAUUUAGCCUGGACUGGUAAUCCCACUGUAAGGAUGAGGUUUGCGGGAGUGUGCUCUCUGAUAUGAAAUGUGUAAAACCAUGGUUGAAAGAUACCAUGGCAACCUGAUAUAAAAUGUGUAAGACCAUGGUUGAAAACCUGAUAUGAAAUGUGUAAGACCAUGGUUGAAAGAUACCAUGGCAACCUGAUAUGAAAUGAAUAAGACCAUGGUUGAAAGAUACCAUGGCAACAUGACGGGAAAUUAAUAAGAUCAUGGUUGAAAGAUACCAUGGCAGCGUGACAUGAAAUGAAUAAGACCAUUGUUGAAAGAUACCACGACAACAUGACAGAAAAUGAGUAAGACCAUAGUUGAAAGACACUAUGACAUCAUGUCAAAGAUAAAUAAGACCGUGGAUGAGAGACACGAUGACAUCUAUUGAACAAUUGAUAUUCAGGUAAUAUGUAUCAGAUGAUGAAUGGUUAUAUGAAAUAGUUAUGUGAAAUGUUUACAAGAACUGGUCAUAUGGAAAUAUAUGUACAAAAUAGUUGCAUGAAAUAAUUAUGAAGAUAGAUAAACAAAAUAAGAAUAAGUACAUGGAAUAUAAUUUAUGUUAAGUUUGAUAUAAAAUUUACCGGAAUAAAUAUACAUAAAAUAUAUGGAAAUGAUGGAGCAUGAAAUAUUGAUAUAACGAAAUGAUUGAUAUAUACUUAUGAAGAAACGGUAAGAGAAUGAUAUGUUUCAUGACAUGUACAUAUAUGAUUAUCUUUGUAUGUUGAUACAAGGACAAUUAUUAAACUCAAGUGUAACAUGUCGAGAAAAUAAGUAUAUAAAUGUUGAAUUUAUAUGAAAUAUAUGCAAGUAUACUAACAAUGAUGUUGUUUGACGUUUAGACAAGUGUCAAGCUAUUGAUUGAAUGGUAACAUGUUUAAUUAUAAGAAGUACUGAAAUGGUAAGUACUUAGAUGAAAAUAAAAUUUAAGAUUUUGCGAAAAUUUUUUUAUAAUCCCGAUUUAAUUCUGGUUGAUUUUUAAUGUAUGUUUCGGGCUUCGAGGGCCCAAUAGAGAGACGUUAUGAUUAUUUUCAAAAUAUGAAUAAUAAAUGACUCGGAAUUAUCUAAAAAUAUUCAGUAAACUUCGGUAAUGCCUCGUACCUAUUCCGGCAAUGGAUACGGGUAGGGGGUGUUACGUGCAUACUCAUAACAUCAUAUUUUACCAAGUCCAAACUUGCCAACUCACAUUCAAUAGGCAUUAUUAAACUACUUUCCUAUCACAUAUUUUAGCAUAAGUUUGUUAUCUUAUCAAUGAGUCACAUUUCAACCAUCAAACUUUCGUACUACAUGCUACAAUCUAUCAUUUACCAAGCAAAUAAUAACAACAUCACAAAAGACAUCAUCAUUUCACAAUUUCAACAAUUAUAAGCUUAGCUUACAUACUUGUGUCGUUUCAACUUAAUCACAUACUCAUCUUUGUCCUUGACAUACCCAUUGAACCACUUGGAAUAUUAUCAGAUACAUAAAAGAUCUCGCACACUAGGUGCCACAACUUCAAUCUCAUAUCACAUAAAUGCUCGCUCUCGAGCUAUCCACGGGCCUGCUCACACAAGUUGUCAGUCGAGACAUAACUACACGGUGCUGCUCCCACAAGCUGUCAAGUAUCCGCAACACAUGCCGAAAUACUCAGCCACAGGUAGGACGUACAUGACCAGCACCCGGGAUGACAUAAAUCACAUAAUCACGUGUGUUCCCAAUGACAUGUUCCUAAGGUUCAACCGGGGUUUUCUCGCUUGUCGGAACUUCGUCGAAUAUAUCCAUAUGGUCAAUCAUACAAUUCAUGUAAUAUCAAAGCAUUAAAAAUACAAUUAUAACAUUACAUUAUUAACAUACGAACUUAACUUGGAUGGAAAAAGGCAAAAAGGGCCUAAUCGUCAAUUAUUUUGUUUUUCCCCCGAUCUAUAUCCAAAUUUCAUUUUUUUAUCGAUCUAUAAUAUCAAAUUUGACUCAUUUAAUCGUCACACUAUUCAAUGUAACUCAAAAAUCACAUUAUGGCAAAUUUAUAUUUUUCCCUAAUAUUUCACAUUUUUACAAUUUAGUCCCUAGACUCAUAAAAUGAAAUGUAUUCAUUUUUUUCAAAACCCAAGCCUAGCCGAUUCUUAUUCAAGCUCAUAACAGCCCACAUUUUUCAUUUAUUCACAUUUUAGCACACAUUUUAUAACUUUUUACAAAUAAGUCCCUAUUUGACAUUUCCAUCAAAAAUCACUUUGUAAAUGUUGUUUAUCUAACAACAAACAUGUAUUUUCUACCAUUAAACAUCAAAAUACAUGCACAUAUAACAUGGGUAAAAUAUUAGACUUUGACAUCUCUUCAAAUUAGUCCUUGAUAUAGCUAGAUUAGGCUACAAGGAUCUCAAAAACAUAAAAAUCAUUAAAAACGGGACUAAAAUGUAACAGCCUAAUUUUCAGUGGUAUCGGGAAUAGAGAUUUGAGAUCACCAAAUUCGACAGGUGAGUUGAAAAUUUAAUAAAUUAAUACCUACGAGUCAAAUGUGAAUAUAAAAGCAUUUUUGAAUUAGUGAAUUUGGUGAUUUAAAAGAAUUAAUUAGGUAAAUUGGGUCGAUAAUGAGGUAUCAAGACCUCGACUUCAUAAACCGAGCCAUAAAUAUUUUUAUAAAUAUUUAUGGAGUGUUGGUGAGGUAGUAAUAAAAUUUAGUCAGAAAAUUUUGACGUUUGGGUGGUUAAUUAAAUAAAAAGGACUAAAUUGAAAAAGGUGUAAAAGUUGCAAAAGGAUUAAAUAGCUCAAUUGUCAAAUGAGGAAGGACCUAAAGUGAAAAUAAGCCCAAAAGAGAUAUUUUGGGUUGCAAUAGCUGAGAAAAAUCAGGAAAUGGGUGAAAUAAGGGCAAAAUUGGAAAAUUGCCAAAAUUGGCUAAAUAAAAAUGGGACUAAAUUGGAAUAUCUAGAAUUCUCUUCAUUUCUCUUCAUAUUCAUCAGCUGAAAAAUAUCCAUGGAGGAGGGUUCAAGCUGGUUUUCAUACUCUAGCUUCAUGUAAGUUUAAUUCUUGCCUUCUCCUUGAAAUUUUUAUGUUUUUGGACUUUUACAAUUGGGUCCAACUUACUAUUUCAUUAGUUUUUGAUUCCAUGUCUAAGUUUUGACGUUGUUAUGGAUGAGUUCUGGAAGUAUAUGAUGAUUUGGCAUGAAAUUAGAGCUUUAAAUUGUUUAUAUUCUGAUUUUAUUGAAAGAAUUGAAUAGAAAGUGAAUGUUUGGGACCUAAUUGUAAAAGAGUUUGAAGUUAGAGUUUUAUGUGGAAAUUCUGAAUUUAAAUAGUUAUUAAAUAACUUAUAACGUCUAGAAAAAGUAUUAAUUGAUAAAAUUAUCUUAAUUGAGGGGUUAAUUGAGCAAGGACUGAAUUGUAUGAAUUGUGAAAUUUGGGGCAAAAUGGAAAUCAACAUUUUGCACUAAAACUGUUUUGGACAGCAGCAGUAGUCUAACUUUGAAAAAUCACCAAAAAUUUUAGAAAUGGAAUUAGAGGAUGAAUAAAAUAUUAAAUUAAAUCUUAUUGAGUCUAGUUUCUUAUAGAAGAAAUGAUGUAAGCAAUGGAAUUGUAAAUCAUGAGAUAUGAUAAAUUUUGUGAGACAAGGUCAGAAUGAUUUCGGGUUCCCCUGUUCUGGUUUUGUAAAAUCAUCAAAAAUUGGAUAAAAAUAAUUAGGGGCUUAAAUUUAUAUGUUUAGAAUUCUGAAUGAGUCUAUUUUCAAGAGAAACAAACAAGGACAUCAUUCGAAUCCUGUACGAGAAGAUAAUUAAUUUUUAGUGAAGAAGGGUCGGAACUGUCAGACAGCAGAACAGGGGAGACUUCAAUGAAUAAACUAUAUCAAUUGGCCCAACCAAAAAUUAUGAAAAUUUUAUGGUAAGAAGACAUAUGAGUCUAGCUUCUGGAAAAAUUUAUGGAUCUUAAUUUUGAGUUCUGUACCUCAAGAUAAAAAUAAUUUAGUGACUAUGACACAUAUGGACAGCUUGAAUAUUCACAUAAGUAGAUAGUGAAAAUUAUGGAUAAUGUUACCUACAAGUGUGUUGUUUAUACUAAGGAUGUGGAUGGAGAGGAGGAGGAGGAAAAAUAUACAUAUAUAUAUAAAUGACUCGUGUAUAAAUUGACCACAUGCCCGAUUAUAAUCGAUAAGUGUUGAAUUAGAAAUGAUAUAAUAAUUUAUUUGGAAUAUUUAUUAGGACAUUAUGAUUAUCGUUAUAAUACAAAAAUCGAACUUCUGAGUUUAUAUGGCUAAAUUUUAGUGAUUAUUUGUUAACUUUAUGAAUUUCAUGAUGUGUUAUUUCAUAUGUAUUGAUAAAAUCGUGAAUAAUGUAAAAGCAUGAAAAUUGAAUAAAUGAUCAAAUUGAGCAUUUCAGUCCAGUGACAAGAUGAAUUGAAAGAAAAGACCAUGGUUGGACCAUGACAACAAGUGAUAAGUGAUAGCUUCGGCUACACUUAUCUAAUCAAUGACAAGUGAAAAGUGGUAGCUUCGGCUACCUAAUCAGUGAAAAGUGGUAGCUUCUGCUACCUGAUCAGUGAAAAGUGGUAGCUUCGGCUACCUGAUCAGUGAAAAAUGGUAGCUCCGGCUACCUGAUCAGUGAAUAGUGGUAGCUUCGGCUACAAGUGACAAGUGACAAGUGAUUUCCGUAUAAAACCAUAUCUGGGAUAUGGCAUCGGUGUGAUAUAUGCUACUGUAUAAGACCAUAUCUGGGAUAUGGCAUCAGUGAGAUAUGUGAUUCGUGUAAGACCAUAGCUGGGCUAUGGCAUCGAUAUAUGAAUAGGUGUAAGACCAUAGCUGGGCUAUGGCAUCAUUAUGUGAAGAUGUGUAAGACCAUAGUUGAACUAUGGCAUCGAGAAAAUGAAGUACUCAAUUCCGUAAGAUGAUCACUAAUUUGAAGAAGUUUGGUAAGUAUUACAUGGAAUUAUGUGACAUAAGGAAAUACGAGUUGAUAAGACAUGAGCAUAAAACUUGGUUGAUGAAUGAGUUCAUUUGUGAUUAUAUAUUUCUACGCAUUAAGUGUAUUAUCCGUAUGAAAUAAUCUGAGUUCGAAAUAAAAUAUAAUGAAAACGUACUUGAAAUACAUUGGUAUGUCUUGUAUAUGCUAUUUGAAUUCAUAAAUGUGGAAAGUAAAUGUAUGUGGAUAUAUGAGAUGAUGAUAUCUGUACAUGGAAUUUAUUGAUGAAUAUGUACAUCCAAAUUUAUAUGAUAGAUUUUAGUGAACAUUGAAAUUGAGCUCAAUAAGUGAUUUGGAAAUUUAAAUCGUGAUUGGUAGGAAGAGUUAAUGAAUUGCAUAUUUAUGAAUUGUUACACGUAUUUGUCUGAAAUACGAGGAAGUGAUGGUAAUUGAUUCAUGGAAAAAUGAAACUAUGAUAUAUAUAAAAACAUAGAAUAUGUUUGAUAAAUGUGUUCAUUCAUAAUUAUGGAAUUAUGUACCUCACGUGUGCUAUUUGCAUAAAGAUGAUAUUUCAAAUACUUUGGUGAAUAAAGCUUAAAUAUGAAAUAGCAUGAAAUCGAAACAAAUUGUUAUGAAAAUGUAUUUAAAUUAUCUGUAAGUGUUUCGUGCUUCUCGGUAAUGCCUCGUACUCUAUUCCGGCGACGAAUACGGGUAGGGGGUGUUACAAGAACGGACUUACAAUCGAGCUUGGAAGCUUGGUCAAAACCCUAGCUACGGCCUUCUUGGUAUUUUUGGUCAUGGGGAAGAAGAUGGACAAGAAUUUUGACCUUAUUUUGCUUUUUAAUUCAUUUAAUAACCAAAUUACUAAAAUGCCCUUAACGAAAAACAUUAGAAACAUACCUAACCAUGUCCACUUUUGUCCACCGAUUUAAAAAAUGGUCUAAUUAUCAUUUAAGGACCUCCAAUUUAAAAAUUAAUGGCAAUUAGACACCUUUAACCUAUAGAACUCACAUUUUGUACUUAUUACAAUUUAGUCCUUAUUGCUAAAUUGAGUGCUCAAUCGAUAAAAUUUCUUAACGAAAUUUUCAUACAAUCAUUCUAUCAUGUCGUAGACCUUAAAGAAAUAAUAAAAUAAAAAUUUUUACGUUGAAUUUAUGGUCCCGAAACUACUAUUCUGACUUGACCCAAAAGCGGACUGUUACAAUUUUACUGUUCAUUAUGGGCCUCAAUGGACCAUUCAAGGGACAAUAUGAUUGAUGUUGCAUAUGAUUAAUAUUUCUAACACGAAUUAUCUGUGAAUGUUUUAUAAAUUGCGAUAAUACUCCGUGGCCCUAUUUCGGCGACGCAUACGAGUUAGGGGUGUUACAAUAUUACAUUGAACUAUUAUAAAACAAAAGCAUUCCUAUCUGUAUUAGACUUCAAAAGUUUUAAGAGCUCAAAAAUUUGAACAUUAUUCCUAUGAAAAUUUGAAUGUUACGAUCCUUGAGCGUUAUAAUUCUUAUCAGUUGUCAUUUUAACUAGUGAAUCUACAAUUCUAUUCUUCACGCUUAAUUUUUUAAUAUCUAACAGACUACCAAUUGAAAGAUCCUCAUAGGCAAGGUUGAAUUCAAAUUUGCCAACUGACUAUGUUAAAUGGUUUUAGCUACUUCUAAAUUAUCAAUUUAGAAGCCCCGCUUCUGUAGGAGAGCCAAGCCAUCUAAAAUCCCUUGGAGCUUAGCUUCAAACACUGAAGAAACCCUUAAAUAAUGAUUAUAUCCAGAGACCCACCUUCUACUUAAUUUUCACAUCACGGAAAAAACGUGCUUUAAGCAUAUAUGAACUUCACUUUCUUUUAGUUGCUAAUGGUUCCAAUCAUGCUAAAAUUUAAUCUUUUUAGAUAUAAUUACAAGUAUGUUCAGUUUGGGUAUAAUCUAUUUUUAUGAAAUCUGUACUUUGGAAAUCGAUGUUUGAUAAAAUCCCUUUCCACGUGAUAGUUUAUUGAGUUUUCAAAUUGGAUCGAUGAUCGAACUGGUUAAACAAAUUAUUCACUAUUUAAAAGCUUAAAUUUAAAAAAAAAAUUCAGAAAAAGAAAAUCAGAAAAAAAUAGAAAAAAUGAGCACAAGUAAAUAAGAAAUUGGAAAGUAAACAUGGCCAUUUACCUAUGGCUUUGCUUAAAGAUAAAGUGAGAAAUUUAUAAAAAGACAAAUUGGAAAGUAAUAAAAUCGAUGAAUAUUUUACACUUAAAUGAUUUACACAUGAAACCCACAUCCGUAAAAGGAAAGAAUUUAAUCAUUCUCGUCAACCCAACUUAAAAUCGUAAAUUGGCAAGUGUAAUCAUAUAUAAGUAAAGAACCUAGUCAUUCAUAACCCCAAUCAAAAUGAAUUUUCACAGCUGCCUCCUCACAAAGUGAAAUGUUUUGCUAGGUUUUCAUUUCUCAUUCUUUAAGCAAUUAUCGAUCCUUGAAACCUACUCUUUUUAAACAAUUUUUGAGUUAAGCACAAUAGUUUCACCAAUAACUUGAGUACCAUUUUAUUCCAUUGGAUUCAUUCAUUUCCUCGUAGUUCUAAGAACAGUAACCUUCCGAGAACAUAGACUGGUCAUAUAAACAAACAAGCAUUAAUCACUCAUAAAAAAUGGUUAUUGGAUAAGUUGUUUCUAGGAAAGUAGGAGUUUCUCGUGUAGGAGCAAAACUUACAACCCUAGGUCUUUCGAUAAUACCAUCUUUUAUCCUCCGUUGCAGAUCUAUGCAUUCUUCCUGUUAACACAUCAUCAUGCAACUAAGCAUACAAUGCAAGAAGUUACCAAAAUUCACAAUAAUAUCAUAUCUCAUGUGGAAUGAAUUUACCAUGAAC
rnacentral:lncRNA from 1 species